UUAAUAUUUUGAUACAUGUUCUAAUGUUAUAAUACUUGUUGAAACUUAUCGAUAUUUUUUUUUUGUCAGAUUUUAACUUUAUUUUUAUAAAAUUUCUAACAUUUUUUGAAACAAAUAUGCUCUUAUGCUUUAAAAUAUGCAUUUCCAUAUUUUGCUACUUUAUUAUAUCAUGACUUAAUAUAUAAUAAAGGAUGAGAUAAAUAGUAAGGAGAAGAAAGAAUUAAUAUAUAUAUGUGUGUGUGUGUGUGG
rnacentral:lncRNA from 1 species